rnacentral:rRNA from 1 species
UGGGGAAUUUUGCACAAUGGGGGAAACCCUGAUGCAGCAACGCCGCGUGAGUGAAGAAGGCCCUUGGGUUGUAAAGCUCUUUCGGUUGGGAAGAAGGGUGUGAUGGUUAAUACCCAUUGCAUUUGACGGUACCAGCAUAAGAAGCCCCGGCUAACUUCGUGCAAGCAGCCGCGGUAAUACGAGGGGGGCAAGCGUUGUUCGGAAUUAUUGGGCGUAAAGGGUGCGUAGGCGGUUUGGUAAGUCUGAUGUGAAAUCUAUGGGCUCAACUCAUAGUCUGCAUCGGAAACUGCCGGGCUUGAGUGUGGGAGAGGUGAGUGGAAUUCCUGGUGUAGCGGUGAAAUGCGUAGAUAUCAGGAGGAACACCUGUGGCGAAAGCGGCUCACUGGACCAUAACUGACGCUGAUGCACGAAAGCUAGGGGAGCAAAC